GCCGUUGUGGCUCAGGGGUAGAGCAGCUCACUCGUAAUGAGCAGGUCGUCGGUUCAAUUCCGACCAACGGCUCCA
rnacentral:tRNA from 2 species